rnacentral:rRNA from 1 species
GACGAACCGUGCGAACGUUGUUCGGAAUCACUGGGCUUAAAGGGCGCGUAGGCGGGCCACCAAGUCCGGGGUGAAAUCCUCCAGCUUAACUGGAGAACUGCCUCGGAUACUGGAGGUCUUGAGGAAGAUAGGGGCAUGCGGAACCGUGGGUGGAGCGGUGAAAUGCGUUGAUAUCCAUGGGAACUCCGGUGGCGAAGGCGGCAUGCUGGAUCUUUUCUGACGCUGAGGCGCGAAAGCCAGGGGAGCAAACGGG